GGAAGAUAUCCGGCCCACGGGCGAAGCCGCGGCUCGCUCGGACGGGCUCCGCCGCAGAAGGCUAGACGCCCACGGCGCGGGGCCACAGCCUCAUGGAGAGCCCGAGGCGCAAGUACUCUCACCCGGCCUUCUGUCCGGCUGCCGAACACUCACCCAGAACCACGCGGCUGCCCAAACGAAUUCUUCGUCGCUACCGCCGCGACGGAGCGUUGAGACAAACCUUAGCGCAUGCGCCCUAGGCCUGUGCUAAGCACCGCCUCUGGGGGCGGGCAGGACCAACGGCGCCUGCGCCUUGCUGAGCCGUUUGUAAGCAAGGGUUUGCCACGUGCGUUGACCAAAGGGAGCCGCGCGUGGCCUUUGUCCUGGGCUAGGUUGGACUGUGUGGUCAGUCUGUAGCCAUUUGAGCGGCUUGUAUCAUUCUUGACAAAUGUUAUCUAGUUUUAUGAAUUAAAAGAUAUUAAUAAGUU
rnacentral:lncRNA from 1 species